CUAAUGGAGAGUUUGAUCCUGGCUCAGAGUUAACUCUGGCAUCGUGCAUAACACAUGCAAGUCGAACGGGACUUAGUUUGUAGCUUGCUAUAGACUAAGUUUAGUGGCAGACGGGUGAGUAAUGUAUAAGAAACCUACCUCCGAGUGGGGAAUAACAGUCCGAAAGGAUUGCUAAUACCCCAUAACAUAAUGGAAAGGCAUCUUUUUAUUAUCAAAGAUUUAUCGCUUGGAGAUGGUCUUAUAUUCUAUCAGCUAGUUGGCAGUGUAA
rnacentral:rRNA from 1 species